CGUCGAUGAAGAGCGCAGCCAACUGUGUGAAUUAAUGUGAACUGCAUGCUGCUUUGAACAUCGACAUCUUGAACGCAUAUUGCGGCCACAGGCUAGCUUGUGGCCACGCCUGUCCGAGGGUCG
rnacentral:rRNA from 1 species